ACAUCUCUGCCUCUAUUUUUCAAAUUCUUCAAAUCUUUGAGGGCAUUUGAGAGUGCAACUAUUGCUGCUUCCUGCAGUGCUUUUUCUCUUGUCUCUUCAUAAGGUCUUGAUAUCUUAAAGCACAUAACAUCUUAUCUAUACCACUAACAAAGCAGUGCAAACCCAAAGAUUGCCAUCCCUGUGAAAAGCUGAUUAAACUUGAACAGCCAAAGGGCUUUCAAAUCAACACCAUCAAGAUAAUCAUCAAUAACAUAAUAGCUGGGAAAUUAAAAAAGCAUAAGAGUAAAUUUUAGGAAAGAAUCUGUUUUCUAGUGGAGAUGAUAUGGCAAGGGGAUUUAAAGAAGAUCAUUUCUGACAUAGGAGCUGCAUUGCUAACAGCACAUAAUGCGUCUUACAGGUAUGCAAAACAAUCAGGUGUCUGUGUGUGCUUUUGUAGGUAUUUGCAACUCAUUUAAUCCCUAGUUUUCCCAGAAGCAGGAAUUGGUUGCUGAGGCAAAUGCUGUCUACCCAAGAACGCAGCCUGACACAGGGACAGGCUGUGCCUCUGAUCUCUGCUGUAAUCCACGUCUCUUUCUGCACGAUGGUGCAUGAGCAAGCUGGUUUUUGGAAGCCCAUUGUCUGCACUUCUUACUCAGAGUAAGAGACAGUGGUUAUGUAUGAGCAGCAGAGGAAAGAGGGAAGUGAUGCUGAGGAUAGUGGAAAAAGCGUGUUCUCUGAUGUUGCAUAGACCAGCUGUUGUACAACUCCAUGCCGAGGCAUCAGAAGGAUAUCCUGGACAAAACGUUUUUAAAAUGAGCCUUUCUAAUGCAAGAUGUUGGGUUUAGUGGUCCUGACAGGGCAUUUUGGCUAUCUACUGAAAAUAGGCAGCAUUACAAGGGCCUGCAUUAGCCCACGCUCAAGAAAGUGCCUGAUGCCCCGUUCUGGCAAAGGUAGUUUUCAAAGUACCUCAGUUCAAUGUGUGACAGCAAGACUGAGCAGAGGCAGAUCAGCCACCAAGUUUUUGUUUCUGCUACCUGGAUAGCAGCAUGUGUGUGCAGAAACUAAAUCCAUGUUACAGAGAGAUUAGAAGAGUCUCUGCAAAGCCAUAAUGCCAUACACAAAUGGCCAGCUCAGCUAGAGGGGAGCAGAGACAAUUGCUAGUGGACCAUCUUUCCAAAACCUGUUGUGUCAUGUUUAUUUCCCAUCUUUUGUUCCAUUUAUGUGUUACUGCUUGCUCUUUGCAAUGCCAUCGUUUCAAGACAACAGCUCUUGGAUGCUAGCUGCUUGUGUGGUGCCUAUUGAACUGAUUCUGUUAAAGCCUUGAGCAAGCGUUAGUUAUAAUUUAGCUUUCUGUAAGAGUUUCAACCAUGCUAUUUGUGUAGAGUAGAAUUUGACAUUUUACCGCAAUCUCAAAAAAUUAUGUGGGUAACUCUCCUCCCUCUUUCCCUCUUCCUGACCUGUGGACUCUGCAUGGAGAAGGCUGUUUCCAACAGGCAUAAACAGUUAGGAAGGAUGUGUUAUUUGGGUGUGGGUCAUAUAGAAAAGUGGAGUCUUCUGUUCUUCCUUUGAAGCUGCAAAUAAAAUUAUUUCUUCUGCUAAGAAGAAAAUGUGCAGCAGACAUGUUAAGUGAAACUCCUGAUUUUUAUUGAAAAAUCAAAGCGAGGAGAAAAGAUGUGUGGCUCUUUAGCCACAUCUGCAAACAGUGAGGAAUGAAAGCCUUUACUUCACUCACAGCAUAUAUGUUUUAUUCUGUUUCAAUUUUAAAAUGUGUUUAUUGAGUAUAGGAGAAAAGAGGAGAAACAUAUCCAAAAGCUGCAUUUUUAAUGUUGAGCUUGAAACGCAGGGGAGGUUUAAUACGACACUAAUGACCACCAGGAGGAGCUCAUGACACAGCUUGCAGUGUUAAAUCCUUACCCUAAACUUGUAAGAAUUUCAAGAAAAACUUGAUGUCCCAGCCUGGUGUGGGCAGCCAUCCCCUUCAGGCUGUGCAUGCUGGCAUUUGACACAGAGCUGCAGGAACUGAACCGCAUCUGCACAAGGCAAAGCGACGCGACACGGCGGGCAGGUGGGACAAUUUGCCACGGGCAGAUUUUGGGGGUGAGAGAAUGGGGUGGCCCAUUAUGCUGCGAGCGGCCUCCUCUGUACAGGGAGUCACGGCCGCACGCCCUGCGUCUGAAACCUCUAUUUUCCCUUCAUAAAACCAGGGAGCUGGGGUGGAAUAAAGGCCAGCUGGCAGCCAGAAGGGGGGAGCGCUCACAUGGUGCCGUGCUUUUUAACGUUUUCCUAAAGCUCUUUAUGGGCCAGUCAGUAACUGCGCUCCGCUGGGUGAUGUGAAUGCUCUCAGCUGUCCCAGGGCUGCAGAACAAAUUUGUAAGUAAAAGACCAGCAGCUUUGUUGUGGAGGAGGUGGCUGAUUUCCGAGGGCACAGCCCCUCACCUUGCAGCUGCGAAGUUGCCUUCGUCCAGGACAAAGCAGGACAGAGGCCUCAACGCUGAAACUCCCGAGGAAAUUAUUUUAACAACUUUCUGCAAAACGUCGUCGUGAAUUGAGAAGAACCCACUGCCUGUCACAUCUGUUCUGCUCUGCAUCUAUUUUUGUACUUGCUGAAAAAUCCCGUAUUUUACAGUGCCUCGAGGCUAACCAGUUCCCAUCUCACUGAGGCAAGAGACCAACGUCUGUAACCCAGUGACUGUGGGCACCUUUCUUCUUGCUAAAAUAAAUUAAUACUGAGCAGACAGAGUCCUUUUAUCAUGGCCGGGUUCUUAUCAGACCAUCUCCUUUUAUAUUCCUUCCUUCCCCAGCCAUUGUGGAAACAGACAUCCUGCCCAAGGCAUCAAAACCCACAAUCUGCUGCCUCUUCUAUGGAGCCUCUGGAUUUGUGCCAGUAGCCCCUCGAGAUGGUCCCAGAUGUGGCUGCCUUUUUCUGUGCUGCCAUGAAAAUAUCCGGUAAAGACAAAGGGCUGCACUCACCACAGUUACCGCUUUGGAGGCCAGCACUUCCUCUGCUGUCAGGGCUGUACAGUGGGAGAUGUUAGUCAUGAUGUACCCCAGGGUAACCACGGCUGGAGUGGCAGGGUCGCAGUCAAAGGGGAUGUUCCUGCGAUAGAAAAGAGCCCAUCCUUUGGCUGCACCUCCCAGCUGUUCCUUGGGUUUGCCUCCAGUUCCCAUGAAGCCAGGAGAUGUGCAUGGGGUGCAGAUUCCUUGCACCUAAGUCUUGUGUGAAAGAGAGUUUGGGUUUUGAUGCUGCUUUUCACUAGAGAAAGGACUUCAAACGAUGUUAUAUUUAUUUCAAAGUGACUUGGACUCGAGGCAUUGGCUCUCCUGCUGCUUGUAAAACCAACAUGUUCCGACUGACUUUUUUGGGAGAAGUUUGGGGAGAGAGAAAGGCAGUGAAAUUACCAAGUCGUGGUUUUGGCUUGGGUUUGUGGUGGCUUCAAGAUGCUUCGGAAGGUUUGGUAGUUUUUGGUAGCGAUAUUGGAAACACUCUGUUACAGACUGUUACUGCAAGCAAUUGAAGAUGCCUGCGAGGAGUCAUGGGGAUGAAGCAAAUGUACCCUGCUGCCUGGUUUCCUUGGGUCUUCAUCCUGUGACCUUUUCCUUUCUUCUUGUAGCCUAGGCCUUCAAUGCUGCUUCCCUUCCUUGAUACCUGCUGCCUAAUUGCUAGGAUUCCUCUUGCCCGAGUGCACUUGUCUUCUCUGCCUUCGUAAGCAUUCGCUCGUGCAAUAAGACAUUUGGAAGGGUUUUUUUGCCAGUUCAUCAAUUUUUAGGCAUUGAGGGAGGACAGGUGAGAAUCCAAUGUGAUUUCAUGCAUGAAGCUGUGCUUUAACACUUAAAAGCUUUACGUCAGUGUCACUGCAAAGAAAAACUUCAAGUGCCGCUCCACUGGGAUCCACCUUGCAAUCUGUCUGCCUCUAAAACGAGGAGAUUGGAGGAAAGUGAUGAAUUGUUAGCCUUGAAAGUACUUUAUUGCUCUGUUAAAUUAGGUGAAACCUCUGCUCUGCAACUUAUUUUCCUGACAGAAACUAAUUUGAGGACAUCGAUGAUGCGCUUGUCCCUUGGAUUUCAAGUGUUUCCUGGCACAGUGUUCGUAGAGAAAAGCAGCUCGUCAGCGUUGCAGGUAAUGAGGUGGUGCAUGUGGGACAUCUCCUCACCAUGCUGCAGGUAAACCAGGCAGCUUCCCGAGGUCCAGCUCACCUCUCUCCUCAAGGCCAUGCAGUAGGCUUGCGUCAUGUCGGAGACGCGUGGACGUGUUCGAUACGACCUUCAUGUUUAUUUUUUUUUAUUUUUUUAUUUUUUUAUUUUUUCCAGAAAUUAAGAGGUGCAUCUCUGUGGCGUCUGUUCUGUUAAAUAUUGACUUUCUAUCAGCGGUGUUAGAGGGGAGGAACCUCCCUGCGAAAAUCAUCCUGGGGGUAUUUGCAGGACAAAUGGCCUGAGCACACCUUCAGCUUUUUUUCCCCAUCCAUUUUAGGUGAACUGGGACAGAGGUGCCUUGUGAAGCAUCUCUUCAUACGAGGCAGGUGCAUUGCUUUAACAAGAAAUGUCCUAACCCUGCAGACUGACAGCGGGCUUUCCUGAACAAAACACGCGGUGUCAGCACCAACCAGGAACACAGCCAGAACACAGCGCCCUCUGGAAGCAGGUGUCCUGGAAUAAAAGGCCAGAGGGUGGCUUGUAAAGGGUCAGUGAAUGAUGAAAGAGUCAGUGAAAGAGUCAGUCCAAAGCAUGAUGAAAUCUUUCAUGGGAGAGGAAAAAACAAGGACUAAAUAUGAUGGUCCCCAAAAAAACUGGUGAUAACACCCAAACAGCUGUGCAGCCAAGAAGGAUGUAAGCAUACUCAAGCUCUUUGCAAGCACCACGGUACACAAAACCUGCUUAUAACAAUUAUGUAUUAUAGAAUGUAUUUAUUUAUUUAUUUAUUUAUUUUUCACAUCAGAAGGAAGACUGUGCCUGGCCUGAUGUUUUGAGUAGCGCUGUAAAACGCUGUUAAUGCUGUUUCCAGGGUGAAAGCAGCCAGUGCUCCCCAGCUCCUGGUCUUUCCCUGUGCAUGUGGUUUGGUCCAUGCCCACCGAGCCUUUGAGUCUUCCUGUAACCAAAUAGUGUGAAGGGGGCUUAGCAUUGAUGGCUUAGAUGGCUUGGAUACUCUGAGCUGAGCUCUGUGUGUAGCAUCAGGUGCACUGUGUCCGCGGAGCUGCCAGCUAAGUUGAGUUUUUCUUUGUGCUCUUGUUUUGAAGACGUUAGUACUAAAGGCAAGCAUCAGUCUGAUAACUCCAAAAACUGAAACCUCUUUAUCCCCUAGGAAGGAAAGUAAACUAACUGCAAUCUGGCUUCUUUCAGGCUUCUUCUGCUUAAGCCCAGUGUGGGAACUGUACCCUGGCAGGCACGAGGGGUGUGUAGCCCACUGCCCACUUAUUCCUGAGCACUUCUGCUGAGACUUUCAGUGAGGAGCUCAAGCACGUGGCUGGUUUUGCUCCAUCUUUAAUAUGAUUUUACUCCCCAGACCCCAGCCCAGGAGAGACGUGCUGUUAUUGCUCGGUGCCAUGAGGUAACGCAGUGCUGCAGACAACAAAAGAAGCUGACUGCAGAGUGGGGACCUCUGCAUCUCCGGGUCCCCAGCUUGGCAACCUGGCCAUUGGCUCUGGUCCUUCCAGUUCUAGGAAAGAGGCUGACGCUAUUGACCCUGAACUAUUAUUUGCCUACUGUAAUACAGGGAAAUGAGGGCUAGAUGUGAGGAUCUGCGGCUUGCUGCCUUUCCCUCUCCUUCCCUGGAAGAGUUUUGCAAGAGCAACUGGGCACCACCAGGAUGUCUGUCCCCGUGGCUGGUAGCAACAUCCCUGCCCCGAGGGGGCCCUACCCUGCAAUACUCCACGCUGUCAUCUGCAGGCCUUGCGGGUGGAAACUACAUAGCUGGAGCUCCUGAUAUAGGGGCUAUGGAGGAACACCAGAUCUCCCUGAAUGUGCUUUAUGGUUGAGCAGCGAGGGCUGGGUGCACGCUGUGUGUCCCCGCAGACACGCAAGCUGCAUCGGUGUGGAGUGCAUGCAGAGGCCCCAAAUUUUGCAACACUCUUGCUCGUGCAGGACAGCACUCACGCACCGCUUGCUCCGCAGGGAGGAUCCUGCAAGCCAGCCAGCACUGCUGAGAGUGCCAGAGCAGUGAUCUGCUGCAGCCCCUCUGCAGGCUGACACCUCCAGGAGGCCGAGCACUGUGCCUGUUCCAUGACAUGGGGACCCACCUCCUGAGGGAACAGCCUGAAGCUGCUAAAAUUGUUUCUGGGAGGAGGUCUCAUCUGGAGAGUGAAAACAGCUUGCUACUUGGAGUGCUGUCUACAAAAGAACAAAGCUCUAAGGACCGUUCCCUACGCUGUGCCCCACAAGAGAGAUUAUUGAGCCAAGAUGUUGGCCUCAGGAAGCAUCCUACUAUGCUAGGCAGUUUCCAUGUGAAACAUCUUUUUUUUUCCCUAGGAUUUUUGUGCCCUAGCACCUGGUCAUCUCGGUGCUGGUCCUUUGGGGAAGAUGGGCAGGGAGGCAAGUGCCUGGGUUAUUUGCUUCUCCUAUUUGUAAGGGGAAUGGCAUUAGUUCAUUUCACAGGGAUGCUGGAGUACCUUUCCGACAGUCUUUAAUAGCUGGUGCUGUGGAAGAAGAGCUGAGCAUUGUAAUCAGGUGCAUGUCAGCCCCAUAUUUGUGUUUUGCACGUGUCACAGGUGACAUGAAAGGAAGAAAUGUUAAUGAAAGAGCCAAUUUUCCUGCACGGCUUUCAUGGAAAAUGAGUUCUGAUGCACAGAACUGUGUUUCGUAUGGCAGCUGAAUGAAAAAUUACAGAUACUUAGAAAAGUGAGAUGACAUCAUACGAUCUGUACAUCUUCUGAAAAUAAAUCAGAGCCACUAUGAUUAAAAUAUAUGCACUUGCAAUGGAUGCUUUGGCAGACUGGUUGUAAUAAAGAAUUUUAAAAUUGGAAUAGGUUAAAAAAUCAAGUAGGAAGGGGUUCUAAAACCGAGAGGAAUUUUUCUUCUUGAAAACCAGACUCAUUUUAGUCCAAUUUCUAGCUAGAGAAUGGAAGUGUGGAUUCAACACUUUUAGAUUCCCAAUUAAGAGAUCAUCACCACAUUAUCAGGAUGUCAGACACAUCACAUUCAUCAGUCUGUUUUCUAGAAAUUUUCACUCUUGUCCAAAGUACAGCUGGAAACGCCUAAAUAAAAUUAAAAGGGGAUAAGUGUCACCCAGGCCAAAAACUGUUUUCCUCUCAAGGCUUAAAGUAUUUUCAUUAAGAAAAAAAAAGGUGCUAGGACAUUUCAGUCUUUUCAUAGACAGCUCACAAGACUAAAUUUGUGAAACUCUUUAAAAAGAGGACCCACUGGAAAUGAUCCUUAUGCUUACACCUACAGCAAUCACCCUGGAUUUAUUACUACAUCUCAGGCUGCAAGCCUGAGCCUGAUUUAUUAGCUACCGUCCCUUUGGGUUUCUUAUCCAGGGCAGUAAAACAGCUGUAGAAAGCUGAAAAGAAGUCGAGCUGCACAUCUUGUCUUUUUAGCCUGUUUCUUGUGUUCAUUAUAGUCUAUAAACAAACAUCUUUCAGGUCUCCUAAAUAGAUUUUCUGAUCGAGUUCCCAGAACAGACCACCACCAGUCUCAUUAAAGCUUAUUUAUGCUACUUUCAUGCAUGAAUAAAAAAGCUCCCAUUCACUGCUGAUUUUAUUUAGUUAGAUCCUGUGCCUUGUAGUGGACAUUGAAUUGGUGUGACAUUUUUUGGCAUGGAAAAAGAAAAGUAGUGUGACUGCAGAGAACAGUUUGAUGCCUACAUCUUUUGCCGUAUGAAAAGGAAGGGGUUAACCUGUUCUUGGCUGUAUUGUAUUGAUUGAGGCCCAUGCAAAGA